GCGGUUCCUGGUGCUGCCACCAAGGCUACCGCUGUUUGCCUGGUGUCCCAGGGUUCCGCAUGAAGCCCACACUGCCCACCCCGACGCGGGAGGAAGCGUUCCGGGAAGAUGGUGUCUCAGUGCCCUUCCGUGCCAGCUGCCUGUCCCGCCUGUCAGCUCGGGCUCGCCCAGGUCACCUCCUGCUCCUCUGUGAGCUCAGGCCGCUACCUCUCCCCCCACCGCAAGGCUGAGCCAUCACGCCCAAUCCGCUGCCCUCUGCACCCAGCAGAAAGCCGAGGGAGGAGGCACCGCACCUGCCUCUGAUAAGUAUCGCAGAAAUGCAAAAUUCAACUUGGCUGUGGGGCAGGGUGGGGCCGACAGGACCGACUGGCUCCCCGCUGGCAGCGUUGGCAGCGGCUGUGCAUAUUUGCAAUGCUUCCUCCAGCCUGCGACAACCGACUGCAAACAGCACAGCGCUGGGUCGCUGGCUGCGGGGAGCUGGUUUGUGCAGAGAAGCAGGGAGCACUGUUUGCAGCAAUGUUGUGAGCGCUGAACCGAGCUCUGCCAAGCCAUCCAUCCAUCCACUCAUCCAUCCGCUCAUUCCCCGUGUCACAUGUCUGAUCUUGACCACUGGUCCACAGGGCCCUGGCGGAAGGAGAGGACACAGAGGUAGAAAGACACCCACGGACAAACAGCACGGUCCAGCCCGAGGGGUCACUGCCAGGAGCACCGUGGGCGGCGCCAACCCCAUGGUCUGGCGGCUGAAGAGAAGCUGAGGAUACAGCUAGCUGUUCUCUCGGGACGGGACGUCUGGAGCCAGAGCUGGGGGAAACAGAGCACCGCCCAGGACAAGACUCAAGUGGAAGGGAAAGCAAGAGAUUGAAGAGGCGAAGGGAAGACUCAGGAGUGAGGAGGGCCCUCGCCACAGAGAGCAGUUUGGCCUUUACUGGGUGACUCUCAGAUCGAGUCUGGGCUCUUUUUUCAGUCACUGCUUUGCUUUAUCCCCGGUGCCUACAAAACCCCAGGCACCGAAUGAAGCCAAGAAGUGGCCGGCGAUGCCUUUUUAAAAAUUCAGAUGUGAAGAAGGAGUCAGAGGGCCCUGGGCUCUCCACAGUGGGGUUGGAGAGGCGGCUCUUAACUGGCGAUGGGAAGGUGUGAAGUGUGGGCAGGCGGGAAGGAAGUGGAAGUCACCCAGCACGGCUCCAGAGCCUUCACUCUCACAGGCAAUGAAAGGAAGGCACUCGACGGUCACUUCCUUCCAGAAGCCUCAUUGGAGUCACGUGGCUGGGGCUCCUACAACUCAGCAACUGACGUGGUGCUUCCUGUACACUUUCCUCUUGUUUUAUGAGAUAACACCCAAGAUAAACACGAAGCAGCCAGCUCUCUUUUAUAGCAUUUCUCUGGUGGGCAGAAGCUACCUAAGAUAAAUAUGUUUACAGAUAGAAAUAUGGUUGGGUUGCGGAGGGGGGGGAUAGUCCUUCCACUUGUGUAUUUUUUCCCCUUAGGAUUUAAAAAGAAAAAUCUUUAAUGUUUUUUAUUUUGCUGUAAGCCAGUGGGGAACCAUAAUUACAGAGCUGUUUGUCAAAAAACAAACAAAACACACAUGCGCAAUAGUAGCAGCUAUGCAUUAGUGCCUCUUUAUAAUUAAGAUGAAGGUGAUAUGAAAAAUAUAUUUUAGGCCAGGCAUGGUAGAGCAAGCCUCUAAUCCUAGCACUCAAGAGGCUGAGGCAGGAGGAUUGCCAGUUCAAACCUGGCCUGAGUGACAUAGUGAGAUACUGCCUCAAAAAUCAAAAAGAGAGGGUCGGGGAUUUAGCUCAGUGGUUCCGCCACCUGCUUCACUAGCACAAGGACCUGAGUUCGAUCCCCGGUACCGGGAAAAAAACAAAGAGGAAGGAAGGAAGAGAGGAAAGGAGGGAAAGAAGUAUUUUCUGCAGUAUCAUUGAUUCUGUUAUCCUCCUGCUCAUUCCCCUUUGCUUAUCUGCUUUUUCUGAAGGGCAGGUGUCCUUACGCAUCAGCACUUUCUAGGUGGCUGAGUGCCUCAGCCAGGUUUCUACCUGUGCCACCCUUGACAUUUCAACCACACAAGGGCACAGAAGGGGUCAUAGGGCUCGGGUUUCCUUCCAGAAGAGAUGAGAUCCUACUCUCCAAAGUGGACCCUUUGACCAGUGCUCCCUAAAGCUGAAAUCUUGUGGAGUAGAUGUGCUAGUGUUUUGUCUGCUGGUUUUGUGGUCCUGGGGAUUGAACCCUGGGCCUUGUGUAUGCCAGGCAAGUGCUCUUCCACUGAGCUAUAUCUCCAGCCUUUCUGGUUUUAUUUAUUUCCAGACAUGGUCUUGCAGAGUUGCUCAGGCUGGCCUUGACUUUCAAUUCUCCUGCCUCAGCCUCCUCAGUAGCUGGAAUUACAGGCACACGCUAUCACACCUGGCAUGUGAUAUUUUUGGUUAGAUCUCUGGCUGUUAUUUUUAAGAAAUGAGUGCUUACAGUUCCUCAAAUUAUCACAGUGGAUCAGGGAUCAUGUGCUUCCUGUUUGGACACAAGGGCCCCUCUUACUCCCCACUCUGGCCUUUGAGGUGUUUAUCACGAAUCUGGCCGAAAGUCUCCCGGCGACUUCCCCUGUGGCUCUGGGUGAGCCUGCUCCUGCAUUUGGAAGCUCCCGACAUUAGAGUAAGUGGAGAAGCCAUGCAUAGAAAUCAAGCCCUGGUGGUGCACACCUAUAAUCCCAGCAUUCAGGAGGCUGAGGCAGGAAGAUUGCCAGAAGUUUGAGGGAACCCUGGGCUCCCUAAUGAGUUCAAGAGCAGCUUGGACUACACAUCGAGACUUGGUCUCAAAAACACCAAAAACAGGGCCGGGGAUUUAGCUCAGUGGUUUCACUGCCUGCUGCGCAAGUGCAAGGUCCUGAGUUUGAUCCCCCAUACCAAAAAAAAAAAAAAAAAAAAAGCCAAAAACAAACAAACCAGAAAUGGCUUUAAAUCUGGACUUCUGUGCUACCUUCAAAUGGGGCUGUGAAUUCACACACAAAGUUGAGCUUACAGGAGGGAAAGAAGAGAAUAUUCAUCUUGCAAUUUUAAUUUAAAUGACAAACAUUAGGGCUGGGGAUUUAGCUCAGUGGUUCUACCACCUGCUUUGCAAGUGCAACGUCCCAAGUUUGAUCCCUGGUACCAAAAAACAAAAAACAAUAAAGGACAAACACUAAAAUAUUCCAUGAUUUUGUAAAUCAUGUUUUGCUAUUUGAACAUUUUAAGAAACCUCCUACGAAGCUCAAAGGUGGAAUUGGCUCCCUUCUCUCUUUUCCCCAUUAGCAGCGGGUCACUGCUCACUGAAUAACUAGGACCUUUUUCUGGUGCUCAAGCAUCCCUUCUUCACUCCCAGGGGAGUGUUGGGGCCACAGCCAGCUUCUCCCAGUCCUGUCAGGGGUGCAGGCUCUCCCAGAGGACCUGACACAAAUACCAUCACUACAUGAGUGGUCCACCCACCUGGCCCUCACUAUUAGCCUUGCUGAGGUUCAGAUCUAAAAUGUUCCCCAAAAGUCUGUGUGUGGGAGGUGAUUGGAUCAGAGGUACCAUGCUCAUCAGGGGACUCAUCCAUGGGUGAGUUAGUUCAUGGCUGAGCUCGCUGUCAGGAGGUAAGGCCUGACCUUGUAGUGUAUUCUUGUCCCUGGCUCUUCCCUUCUCUCUCUCUGCAUCCUGGCUGCCAUGAGGUGAGCACAUUUCCUCCACCAGGCCCUUCCACUAGGCUGUUUCUGCCUUGGUGUGGGGAGCGGUGUCAGCCAAAGAAGCUCCAUUUUAAGUUUACCCUCCGUUGUAAAUAGGAGAUUAUGUUAUGGGGAACCGUGUCCUUGCCAACUCCGAUGCUUACCUUCAGAGGUUGCCUUAGAAACAAGAUAAAUGUUCUGUAACCUCAAGAAACAAAAUAGCCCUUGAGGGCGGGGAAUGUUCAAAAAACUAGUAAACAAGGAAGCAGGUGUUUUUUGUAUAAAGGUAAUGAUUAAUGACCUAACUCACUGAGUGUAUAAGAGAGGUGUAAAUAAACUUGCUUGCUUGGUCUUGGGAGCCCUCCCGACUCUGUCUCUUUGUCUUAUUUUCUCAGUCCUCCUUUCCCCCAUUCAGGAACCUUUCGACUGGUGACGGCUGGUCCGUCACACCUUGGAGCCAGCAGACCAUGGACUGUACCCUCUGAAAACUGAGCCAAAUAAACCUCUCUUCCUUUAAGUUGUGGGAGUUGGGUAUUUUGUCCCAGCAAUGGGAAUGUGACUAAGACCCCGUUCUCAAGGCCCCUGGUGCCUUGGUGUGUGAGAGGGAACAAAACAUGUAUGGCUUACAAACACUCCUUGGCUUACAAUGGAGCUAACUCCUGAUUAAACCCAUUGUAAGUUGAAAAUAUCCUAAAUUGAAAACACAUUUAAUGCACCUACUCUGUAGCACCCCUAGCUUAGCAACACAGUGAAGAGUAUUGGUGGUUUCCCUUUGGGGUCCUGAGGC
rnacentral:lncRNA from 1 species